CUGUUAGGGGCAUGAUGUAUUAUUAUCGAGCACUUGAGAUGCUUUCGUUUCUCGAUUCUGCAUCUGAGAUGGACAUAAGG